GACGAACGCUGGCGGCGUGCUUAACACAUGCAAGUCGAACGGAAAGGCCAUGCUUUUGUGGGGUGCUCGUGAGGCGAACGGGUGAGUAAAACGUGAGUAAACUGUCCUUAACUUUGGGGUAACUUCAGGAGACUGGGGCUAUAACAGGAUAGGAGCUCCUGCUGCAUGGGGGGGAUUGGAAAGAUACGGCGGUGGGGGCUGGACUAGCGGCUUAUCAGCUUGAUGGUCGGGUAGGUGUGGUCCAAGUCUUCGACGGGUAGCCGGCAUUGGAGGUUGACCGGCCUCAUUGGUCCUGCGAUACGCCCCAGUCUCCUACGGUCGGCAGCAGUCGGGAGUAUUGCGCAAUGGGCGGAAGUCUGAUGCAGCAACGCCGCGUUCGUGAUGCCGGCCUUCUGGUUGUAAACCGCUUUCGCCUGUGACGAAGCGUGAGUGACGGUAAUGGGUAAAGAAGCACCGGCUAACUACGUG
rnacentral:rRNA from 1 species